AUUGAACGCUGGCGGCAGGCCUAACACAUGCAAGUCGAACGAGUGGCGGACGGGUGAGUAAUGUCUGGGAAACUGCCUGAUGGAGGGGGAUAACUACUGGAAACGGUAGCUAAUACCGCAUACCAUCAGAUGUGCCCAUAUGGGAUUAGCUUGUUGGGGGGGUAACGGCUCACCAAGGCGACGAUCCCUAGCUGGUCUGAGCGGAUGACCAGCCAACCUGGACAUGGGGAACGGGCCAGACUCCUUAGGGAGGGCGCAGUGGGGAAUAUUGCACAAUGGGCGCAAUCCUGAUGGAGCCAUGCCGCGUGGAUGAAGAAGGCCUUCGGGUUGUAAAGUACUUGCAACGAGGAGACGUUACCCGAAGAAGAAGCACCGGCUAACUCCGUGCCAGCAGCCGCGGUAAUAC
rnacentral:rRNA from 1 species